CGGUACUUANCCAGAAAGGGACGGCUAACUACGUGCCAGCAGCCGCGGUAAUACGUAGNUCCCGAGCGUUGUCCGGAUUUAUUGGGCGUAAAGCGAGCGCAGGCGGUUAGAUAAGUCUGAAGUUAAAGGCAGUGGCUCANCCAUUGUAGGCUUUGGAAACUGUUUAACUUGAGUGCAGAAGGGGAGAGUGGAAUUCCAUGUGUAGCGGUGAAAUGCGUAGAUAUAUGGAGGAACACCGGUGGCGAAAGCGGCUCUCUGGUCUGUAACUGACGCUGAGGCUCGAAAGCGUGGGGAGCGAACAGGAUUAGAUACCCUGGUAGUCCACGCCGUAAACGAUGAGUGCUAGGUGUUAGGUCCUUUCCAGGACUUAGUGCCGCAGCUAACGCAUUAAGCACUCCGCCUGGGGAGUACGACCGCAAGGUUGAAACUCAAAGGAAUUGACGGGGGCCCGCACAAGCGGUGGAGCAUGUGGUUUAAUUCGAAGCAACGCGAAGAACCUUACCAGGUCUUGACAUCCCGAUGCCCGCUCUAGAGAUAGAGCGUUACUUCGGUACAUCGGUGACAGGUGGUGCAUGGUUGUCGUCAGCUCGUGUCGUGAGAUGUUGGGUUAANNCCCGCAACGAGCGCAACCCUUAUUGUUAGUUGCCAUCAUUCAGUUGGGCACUCUAGCGAGACUGCCGGUAAUAAACCGGAGGAAGGUGGGGAUGACGUCAAAUCAUCAUGCCCCUUAUGACCUGGGCUACACACGUGCUACAAUGGCUGGUACAACGAGUCGCAAGCCGGUGACGGCAAGCUAAUCUCUGAAAGCCAGUCUCAGUUCGGAUUGUAGGCUGCAACUCGCCUACAUGAAGUCGGAAUCGCUAGUAAUCGCGGAUCAGCACGCCGCGGUGAAUACGUUCCCGGGCCU
rnacentral:rRNA from 1 species